UUUCAGGCCUAACACAUGCAAGUCGAGCGGAAAUGAGUUGUCUGAACCUUCGGGGAACGAUAACGGCGUCGAGCGGCGGACGGGUGAGUAAUGCCUGGGAAAUUGCCCUGAUGUGGGGGAUAACCAUUGGAAACGAUGGCUAAUACCGCAUAAUAGCUUCGGCUCAAAGAGGGGGACCUUCGGGCCUCUCGCGUCAGGAUAUGCCCAGGUGGGAUUAGCUAGUUGGUGAGGUAAUGGCUCACCAAGGCGACGAUCCCUAGCUGGUCUGAGAGGAUGAUCAGCCACACUGGGACUGAGACACGGCCCAGACUCCUACGGGAGGCAGCAGUGGGGAAUAUUGCACAAUGGGCGCAAGCCUGAUGCAGCCAUGCCGCGUGUGUGAAGAAGGCCCUAGGGUUGUAAAGCACUUUCAGCGAGGAGGAAAGGGUGUCCGUUAAUACCGGGCAUCUGUGACGUUACUCGCAGAAGAAGCACCGGCUAACUCCGUGCCAGCAGCCGCGGUAAUACGGAGGGUGCGAGCGUUAAUCGGAAUUACUGGGCGUAAAGCGCGCGUAGGUGGUUUGGUAAGCGAGAUGUGAAAGCCCCGGGCUUAACCUGGGCACGGCAUUUCGAACUGUCAGACUAGAGUGU
rnacentral:rRNA from 1 species